rnacentral:tRNA from 1 species
CGCGCGGUAGAGCAGCUCGGUAGCUCGUCGGGCUCAUAACCCGGAGGUCGUUGGUUCGAAUCCAGCCCGCGCAAC